UUUUUGUUUUUCUUUUUGUUUGUUUGUUUGAUCUUCAUUGGGUAGCUAUCUUGACUUUGGAAAGAAAUGGUUAUCUAUUCCCGGAUGUUCCACACCAGUUGGUUAUUUAUCUCCCUAUGUUGCCCAGGCUGGUCUCAAACUCCUAGGCUCAAGGGAUCCUCCCACCUCAGCCUCCCAAAGUGUUGGGAUUACAGGCAUGAGCCACAAAAGGCAUUUUUCAUUAGUGAGAUUAGGCUCACAAAGGUGUCCAUAAUCCAACCAGGUAAUGAUUCUAAGGUAACCCUUUAGCAGAUUUAUUACCAUACAAUAGAUUAUGAAGGGGAAUUCUAUACAUACAAAUAUACAAACACAAAUUCCCUAAUUUAUUAAUUUACAAAACCCCCAAAAGUUAAACCAACUAAAAAGUUACCACUAUCAUCAUCAGAACAUCUUUUCUUUUCUUUUUUUUUUUUUUUUUUUUUUGAGACAGAGUCUCACUCUGUUGCCCAGGCUGGAGUAGUGCUGGAGUGCAGUGGUACCAUCUCAGCUCACUACAGCCUCCGCCUUCCGGGUUCAAGCGACCCUCCUGCCUCAGCCUCCUGAGCAGCUGAGGCUACAGAUGAUUGCUUGAGCCCAUGAAUUUGUGAGCAGCCUGGGCAACACAGCGAGACCCCAUCUCUUUAAGUUCAGGGGUUCAUGUGCAGGCCUGUUACCUAGGUAAACUUGUGUCGUGGGGGUUUGAUGUACAGAUUAUUUCAUCACCAAGGUAUUAAGCCUAGUACCCAUUAGUUGUUUUUCCUGAUCCUCUCCCUCCAUCCACCCUCCACCCUCCAACAGGCCCCAGUGUGUUGCUCCCCUCUGUGUGUCCAUGUGUUCUCAUUAUUUAGCUCCCACUUAUAAGUGAGAACACGCAGUAUUUGGUUUUCUUUCCCUAUGUUAGUUUGAUGAGGAUAAUGGCUUCCAGCUCCAUCUAUGUCCCUGCAAAGGACUUGAUCUCGUUCUUUUUUACGGCUGCAUAGUAUUCCACAAUGUGUAUGUACCACAUUUUCUUUAUCUAGUCUAUCACUGAUGGGCAUUUAGGUUGAUUCCAUGUCUUGCUAUUGUGAAUAGUUCUGCAAUGAAUGUGUGCAUGCAUGUGUCUUUAUAACAGAAUGAUUUUACAUUCCUUUAGGUAUAUAGUAAUGGUAUUGCUGAGUCAGACGGUUUUUGUCUUAGAAGACCCCAUCUCUUAAAAAAAAGAAACAAUUAUUAAACAAAAAAAUCAAACUCUAAUAUCACACAAAAGAAUGCAAUAUGACACUUCUGAAUGUCACAAAUUUUUCAUUUCAUGUCUUGGGCUUAAGUGCAGUGCAGGCAAUAUUUCAGUGGUCUUUAACUUUGUCUGCAUAUUAGAAUCACCCAAAAAACGUUUUAUCUUGAUCCAGUCAAAUACUUUAAAUUACUGGGUGUAGGCCUAGGUAGGCAAUAUUUCAGUGGUCUUUAACUUUGUCUGCAUAUUAGAAUCACCCAAAAAACGUUUUAUCUUGAUCCAGUCAAAUACUUUAAAUUACUGGGUGUAGGCCUAGGUAUUUACUUUGAAGGCUCCCCCAGUGAUUUUUCAAGUGCAGUGAGGGUUGGGAAUCAGUACAAUACUACCUAGUGCUGCUACUAUUCUCCAACACAAGUAUGUAAUAUUCGAAUUAGCCAACAAUUAUCCUUCUUGAUAGUAAUAUAAACAACCCUCACUUACAAAUAUUCUCAUUAAUUUUUUUCUAUGCUACAGACUUUGGUUGGUAUGUGAUCUUUGCCAACUAUAACUAAUGAGUUAGAAAGAGAUGUGGGUUCUGGUCCUGAUCUGUCCGUUUAUGAACCUAUUCU
ensembl:lncRNA